UUUUGUGUGAUGGUGUUUUCGCUAUUAGUCUCUUAAGUUGAGACGAGAAUCUGCCGCCUAAUAAAAGACUUGUGGCUAGAAUCUUUAGCUUUUAGGGCUUACACAAUGAUAGACGCCCACUUGGGU
rnacentral:ncRNA from 1 species